GUCCAGUUUUCCCAGGAAUCCCUGUGCCCUUUUCCCGGGAUUCCAGGAAUAACUGUCCA
rnacentral:pre_miRNA from 1 species